rnacentral:rRNA from 1 species
AACGAACGCUGGCGGCAGGCCUAACACAUGCAAGUCGAACGCCCCGCAAGGGGAGUGGCAGACGGGUGAGUAACGCGUGGGAACCUACCCAGUGGUACGGAACAACCCAGGGAAACUUGGGCUAAUACCGUAUACGCCCUUAGGGGGAAAGAUUUAUCGCCAUUGGACGGGCCCGCGUUGGAUUAGCUAGUUGGUGGGGUACCGGCCUACCAAGGCAACGAUCCAUAGCUGGUCUGAGAGGAUGAUCAGCCACACUGGGACUGAGACACGGCCCAGACUCCUACGGGAGGCAGCAGUGGGGAAUCUUGGACAAUGGGCGCAAGCCUGAUCCAGCCAUGCCGCGUGAGUGAAGAAGGCCCUAGGGUUGUAAAGCUCUUUCGGCGGGGACGAUAAUGACGGUACCCGCAGAAGAAGCCCCGGCUAACUCCGUGCCAGCCGCCGCAGUAAGAC